rnacentral:rRNA from 1 species
AGAGUUUGAUCCUGGCUCAGAAUGAACGUUGGCGGCGUGGAUUAGGCAUGCAAGUCGUACGGUAAGCUUCGGCUUAUAGUGGCGAAAGGGAGAGUAACGCGUGGUUACAUGCCCUCGGGACCGGGAUAGAGGCGGGAAACUGCCGGUAAUACCGGAUAAUAUCUUUGGAUCAAAGGUGUGAUUCCGCCCGAGGAUUGGACCGCGUUCUAUUAGCUUGUUGGCGGGGUAAUGGCCCACCAAGGCGACGAUGGAUACCGGGUGUGAGAGCAUGGCCCGGCUCACUGGGACUGAGACACUGCCCAGACACCUACGGGUGGCUGCAGUCGAGAAUCUUCGGCAAUGGGGGCAACCCUGACCGAGCGACGCCGCGUGCGGGACGAAGGCCUUCGGGCUGUAAACCGCUGUCAGUUGGGAGGAAGUGCCGGGGGGUUCUCCCCUCGGUUUGACCGAUCUUCAGAGGAAGGACGGGCUAAGUUCGUGCCAGCAGCCGCGGUAAGACGAACCGUCCAAACGUUAUUCGGUAUCACUGGGCUUAAAGCGUGCGUAGGCGGCCUGGUAGGUGAGGUGUGAAAGCCCACGGCUCAACCGUGGAAUUGCGCUUCAAACCACCAGGCUGGAGGAUGGCAGGGGUGAUGGGAACUGAUGGUGGAGCGGUGAAAUGCGUUGAUAUCAUCAGGAACACCGGUGGCGAAGGCGCAUCACUGGGCCAUUUCUGACGCUGAGGCACGAAAGCUAGGGUAGCGAACGGGAUUAGAUACCCCGGUAGUCCUAGCUGUAAACGAUGAGCACUGGGUUGAGGGGACCUCCACAUCUUCUCGGCCGUAGCGAAAGCGUUAAGUGCUCCGCCUGGGGAGUAUGGCCGCAAGGCUGAAACUCAAAGGAAUUGACGGGGGCUCACACAAGCGGUGGAGGAUGUGGCUUAAUUCGAGGCUACGCGAAGAACCUUAUCCUAGACUUGACAUGCUUA